AUUGUCUUCACAUGGGAAUCAUUUCUUUUUUUUCUCUCUCCAAAGGCAUAUUCGAAUGAAGUAACCGGUUGAACCGGCUGUUUGAUGACGUCAUGACCGUGACCUCUGUCUGUGCCUGUAACGGAACAUAAUACAAUAAUAAACAAACCGAAACUGCAGGUUCAAAGAGCAUCAAAAUAAGCAACGCUUAAAAUUUAACUGGUUGUUCUAUUGCAUAUUAUUUGCUAAUUUUAAUUUCACCCCAGUUUUAACAAAGACAUCCAUUGUAUCUUUACUAAACUACCUGUAAAUUGAUAAAAAUGAGGGGAAGCUUGAUAAGAAUGUUCAGCAGGACGCCCAGAACAACCAAACCAAUAGAAGACCAAAUGGCAGAAAGAGGGACGUUGUCAACAGUCAUCAUUAUCCUUUGUUCUGUUGCAGUGUGGUACAAGAUAAACAAGAGUUCUUCGACUAGUCCUGUUCCUGUACCAAAAGAGAAAUAGUGUUUUCCUCAUUCUGUAUACUAAUUUUCAAAAUUUUCCUUGCAACAUUGCACAAAAAGUUUUAAAUAAAGGAUUUGAGAUGUGUGG